UGGGGAAUAUUGCACAAUGGGCGCAAGCCUGAUGCAGCGACGCCGCGUGAAGGAUGAAGGUUUUCGGAUCGUAAACUUCUAUCAGCAGGGAGGAACCAAAUGACGGUACCUGACUAAGAAGCCCCGGCUAACUACGUGCCAGCAGCCGCGGUAAUACGUAGGGGGCAAGCGUUAUCCGGAUUUACUGGGUGUAAAGGGUGCGUAGGUGGUAAUGUAAGUCAGAUGUGAAACCUUGGGGCUCAACCUCAAGCAUGCAUCUGAAACUGCGUAACUAGAGUGCAGGAGAGGAAAGCGGAAUUCCGAGUGUAGCGGUGAAAUGCGUAGAGAUUCGGAGGAACACCAGUAGCGAAGGCGGCUUUCUGGACUGUUACUGACACUGAGGCACGAAAGCGUGGGGAGCGAACA
rnacentral:rRNA from 1 species